rnacentral:rRNA from 1 species
UACGUAGGUGGCGAGCGUUGUCCGGAUUUACUGGGCGUAAAGAGCGCGCAGGCGGUCGUACAAGUCGCGUGUGAAAGCCCCCGGCUCAACUGGGGAGGGUCACGCGAUACUGUUCGACUCGAAGGCAGGAGAGGGAAGUGGAAUUCCCGGUGUAGUGGUGAAAUGCGUAGAUAUCGGGAGGAACACCAAUGGCGAAGGCAGCUCGCUGGGACGGUACUGACGCUGAGGCGCGAAAGCGUGGGGAGCAAACAGG